rnacentral:lncRNA from 1 species
UGUGUGUGUAGUUAGGGUCUGUGCAAGCAUCUCUGGGAGGUAAGCAUAUUGUCCGUCCCCUUUAGAUCUCCCAUGGGAAAGGAAUCAUUUUCAAAGUCAAGUUGGCAGGCUUUAUGCAAAUGUAAACAUGCUAAAUAUUUAUGAUGUUCACUAAUGAGGGAACCAGGAAGAGGACAACCUGGUUCAAAGAAUAAAUGAGGUGCUAAUAAUUCUCUAGAAAAGAGUCCCGGGGGAGCAGGGAAGGAUGCCUGUGUAGAAUGUACGAUGUUUAGGGCAAUGAAACUUUAGUAUCAUGCUGUCAUAGAGUCUACAUGCCAUAAUGUGUCCAAGCUCAUAGAACUGUGCAUCUCAAAGUGUGAACCCUAAUGCACCGUGGACUUCACUAAGUAAUGAUGUACUGAUACUGACUGCUUACAUCUAACAAAUGGACUGUGCUAUUGAAGGGAAGCUAGUUACUAAGCCUGGUGGGGCAGGCCUGUCAUCCCAGCUAUUUCACCUGGGAAGCUGAGUUCAGGGUCUCAACUGUGAGGUCAAGGCCAGACGGGGCAAUUUAGUGAGAAUGAGGGAUGGGGGAGGGAACUCUUUGCUUUCUUGCACACCUAGAUAUGAGCAAGCUGCUACACUUCCCUGUUACCACAAAGCCACCCACUUCCAUGCCUUCUCAAAUGUGAUAGACUGUUUGCAUCAAGUAAGAACCCAAGCAAAUCUUAAAACAAGUAUAUCGUGCAAGAGGCAGGAAUGGGCUGCCUCCUGUGAACCUGUAAUAUCUGUGUUUGUCCCUCUCGGAUGCCGAGGGAACAGCUGGAGGAUGGAGGCCUCAGGUCCAAACCUCACCUCCUCAAGUCCUGAGUGGCUCCAGGCCAGUGGACCCUCUCAUGCCCACUUUUCAAGCUCUUAGCUGAAGUGGCAGCUGGAUGUUGUUUUUCCACUAAGCCGUCUUUGUCCUCUGAUGGAAUCCAAGAACAUGAUACCUGCAGAAGGGUCUGGGUUAGGGCGUCCUUCCCCGGGGAGGGGGGAAGGGAUCCUGGAUGUUCCUCACCCACCUCCCUGCCCAAUACCUUUUUCAGAUUUCCCUCUAGGUGUCAAUGAGCGAACAAUUUCUUCCUGUCCCACAUUUCCCAGAAAGCAAAGCUUCGAUAAGCCAGGGGCCCAAAUGCAAACUCAGGAAGCAAACUUUUGCUUCUAGAAUGGUGAGACAGUAAAUGCUUCUUGGUUUGAUCCACUUUGACUUUAAUGGGCAGCAGUCAGGAGCUUUCUCUCUCUCUCUCUCUCUGUGCUUUCUAUGUACCAAAGACUGAUAGACACAUUAUUGUGUAUUCACGUGUGUGCUCAUGUGGACAAGUGUAUAUCCACAAUGUAUGUGCUUGUGAAGGCUAGAGGUCAGCGUUGGGUGUUAGUCCUCAGUGCCAUUCAUCUUGUUUUGUGAGGCAGGAUUUCUCACUGGCCUGUAGCUAACCAAAUAAGCUAGUCUGGCUGUCCAGUGAACCCUAAAGUUCACUGAACCUUGCUCAGAGAACCCAUCUGUCUCUGCCUCCUUAUCAUUAGGGUUAUAAAUGGACGCCACCACCUGCCCAGCUUUUCCAUGGCGGUUCUGGGAACUGAACUUAGACCCUCCUGUUUGCACGGCAAGCACUUUACCAGCUGAGCCUUCUCUCUGGAGUUGUUGUAGGCAUACAUUUUUCUCAACCUACUGUAACAAGGGUUCAACCUCUCCUCUAGCCCAGCACCCACCAGAGGGAGUGGGAAAGAAAAGUCAUUAGAACACGGGGGAAGUAGACCUGUUUAGAAAUAGUUCUUUGGAGCGAGUCCAGUCUUGGUUGUUCUCAGUCCAGUCCACUAGCAAACACCACACACAAAUCAGAAUCUGUAGACCAGUCCACUGGACAGACACCACACAGGAAUCAGGAGCUACAUUCCAGAGCGAUUCAGGAGGACCCAAGGAGCUAUGUAAAGAGAUAACUCACAUCACAUCACAUCACAUCACAUCACAUCACAUCACAUCACAUCACAUCACAUCACAUCACAUCACAUGGCCCAGCAAAUUGUGGGUCCCCAUGAAGGUGUCAUGAUCUGGUGGCCACUUUAGCACCCAGCCAGGGCCUGGAAAAGGCCCCCUCAUCUCUGGAGGCUUAGAGGUAGCCACUCAGGAUGGACCCUGACUCUCAUUUCUCCAUGGACCCGUGGUUCAGGACACUCAGGACUCAUGCCAAGUCCUUACCACUAGUACACAACUCCUAAAAAUAAUAAGUAAUAGAAAUAACCAAAUACAACAGAUCUCUUUUAGAAACCACUGGCUUUAGCAAGCUGAAGGGCUCUUAAACCUGGUGGGGCAUCGUCAUUCCAAGGGUGGUCAACUGUCUAUUUUUGUUCCAGGCAUAAGACUUUCAGUGCAAAAGCCAGGAUGGUCCUGGAUAGCUAGGUGCAUCAGUGACUAGAGAUGCCUACUUCCACACACCAUCCCAUCACCUAGAGAUUCUGUCUCUAGCCCUGCUCAGCCAGCACCCUGGGGAUAUCUCUGCUACUUCACCUUCUCCUCCAGGCUCCUGGGCUUUCUCUGUGACUCCUAGUCCCACUUCUAUUUAAGGGGUGUUUGCUGACACUUGGAUUUUUCAGGCUGAGAUUUCGAUGAUAGAAAUAACCCAGUGUCCUAUUCACCAUGUGUCCCCUGGGGCCUGGCACAGAGCCUGGAGCCUGUGGAGAGACUGAGAACUACAUCCUGUGUCAUGCAUGAGCUCAUCCCAUCACCAUAGCAACAGAUAGCCCAAAGGCCAGGAGUAUGGCUCUGGUUCUUUGGCAAAGCUCAGACUGGGUGCUCAACUCAUCUACAACAUGGGGCAUGGACCAAGAAACCACUGCUGUGUCUUUGCUGUUACUCUUGACAGAGCAGUGGCUAUUCCAUAGCUCCCAACAAACUUAAAAACAACCAAACAACAAACUCCCAAAUGGUGGCCUUUGCUGUAAUGCAGUGGCUCUCAGCCCAGGUGAUCUUAGAAUUAUGUGAAGUUUGAAAAAAUCCUGAUGCCCAGGCUUGGUCCAAGGCUAUUUGGAUCCUGGGUAUAAGAUUAGUGUUUUGUGUGUGUGUGUGUGUGUGUGUGUGUGUGUGUGUGUGUUUCUCUCUUUUUUUCUCUGUAUGUUUCUAUGUGUGCUUGUCUGUGUGUCUGUCUGUCUCUGUGUUUCUCUGUCUCUUUCUGUGUCUAUCUUUCUGUGUCUCUGUGUGUCUGUCUCUCUCUUUCUCUCUGAGUGAGUGUUUCUCUCUAUAUAUGUUUCUAUGUAUGCAUGUCUCUGUCUCUGUGUGUGUGUGUGUCUCUCUCUGUGUCUACCUAUGUCUCUGUGUGCCUGCCUCUUUCUCUGUUUCUCUCUGUCUCUGUGUGUGUGUGUGUUUCUGUCUCUUUCUGUGUCUCUGUAUUUCUGUCUCUCUGUUUCUCUCUGUCUCUCUCCAAUUGAGUGUGUGCUUCUCUCUCUUUGUGUGUCUCUGUGUCUCUCUAUCUUUCUGUGUCUUUGUGUGUCUCUCUCUCUGUUUUGUGUGUGUGUGUAUGAGAGAGGUGUUAUUUUUCUCUCUCUUUUCCUCUCUCUCUUUCUCUCCCUCUGUGUCUCUCUGUGUCUAACUUUCUGUGUCUCUGUGUGUCUGUCUCUCUCUGAGUGUGUGUGUGUGUGUGUGUGUGUGUGUGUGUGUGUGUGUGUGUGUGUAGGGGCUAAGGGACAAGUUUGGGUGUCAUCCUUAGGAAUACUAUCCACCUUCACUGAGACAGGGCCUCUCAAUGGUUUGGAGCUCUCAUUUAGAUGAGACUGGCUGGCCAGGGAGCCCCAGGGAUCCUCCUGUGUUUGCCUUCUCAGUGCAGGGAUUACAAGUACACAGCAACAUACCCGGUCUUCUGUGGGUGUUGGGUUUUGAACUUAGGGACUCACACUAGCAAUGCAAGCAGUGUGUUACUGGAUGAGCUAUCUCCUCGUCUGCCCUUCCCUCUUUUGAGAGAAGGUCUUGUGUUGUCCAGGCUUGCCUUCCAGACAAGCCAAGGAUGCCCUUGAAUGUCUGACCCUUUUGCUUCCACAUCCUAAGUUGCUGGGGUUACAGUUGUGUGCCGUAACAUCCAGAUCCUAUGGUGCUGGGGACCGAACCACGCAUGCUAGAGAAGCAUUCAACCAACUAAGCAGCCCCAGCCCAGAGCCUUUCCUUUGCUUUAUCUCGAGGUGAUUCCAAACAGGCAGCCAGUUUUGAGAGCCACUGCUGUGACUGGCAUCCCCACCGCACACUUGAAGCCUCCUCGUAGGUGGCAUUUGCAGAACGUCCUGACAACCCCCUUAGUGUCAGAAAGGAUCCCCUGGUCAGUCCCACCAUGUGGGUGGGUGGGUGAUCAUGGACACUGUUCAGAACCACCAGGGAGUUCUGGGUCCCCGAUCCUCUGCUGCCCCUUAUCCUGAUGAUCAGGGAACCUCCACCUGCAAGAGGAUGCCAAAGAUAAGAUGCAGGGACCGUUCCUCACAUCCUUAGAGCUGUGCUAACAAAUGGUUAACGACCAGAAGAGGGGAUCUUGUAGAUCUCUGAUUCAUAUUAUUUGCUAAUUGCUGUGCUGUCAAUACUACCCCCCGGGCCCCGGGUCUGCUGCAGGCUCUCCUCCUUCAGUGGUUGAGCAGAGGGUUGGGAAGAGAUCUGUACCAUAUCUGCCAACUUUCAAGAGCUGCAGCAAGGCAGUCCCCACCCCCACACUCAUGUAGCUUUCACUGUCAUUAUUUGGCCCCAUCCCCCAACCCUUGCCAAUGGUUCUUAGUCUGCUGGGACUUUGAAGAUACACAGGCACCAACAGCUCUUGCUUGGUGGUGCUCUUUUGGACCUCUGACUGUGAACCUGGGCUAUACAGACUCAGUGGGGCAUCUUCACACUGACUCAUAAUUGACCCAGACAGGAGAUGCUCAGUAGUGGAACCACAUGUGGUACUUCUUGAUAUUCAAGAUAGUAAUUUCCAUUCAGGUCACAUUUCAAUCUUCAGCGUCUAUGGCAGGUUCGGGGAGGGGAGUUGUCGUGGGCUUCAUUGGCAGGUAAGGAAACUGAAGGUUAGUGUGGAGGGGUGUUUCUGGGUCCUCCACACCUGAGAGAGUACCCAAGUCUCUGGACAACCAAUGGGGGGCUUCAGAACUCAUGCCCCCAUUUGUAUUUCCUGACAUCGAGAUCUGUGGCAGGAUUAGCUGAUUUAGGCACUGCGUGGGAUACAACACUGGGUAGUUAGCAAGCAUGGGGGGAGCUAAUCCUGCUAGCUUCCUUGGGUACCGAAGACUACACACUCCCUCUUCCUAUACCCUAGUUACACUGUGUCAGUGCCACAGAUCUCAGUGUCAGGAAAUACAGAUGGGUGGAACUGAUUUUGUCCCUCUACUUUACACAUAGGUUCCAGGAACUGAAUUCAGGUCACCAGGCUUGGUGAAGACGUGUUUUACCAGCUGAGCCAUCUCUUCAGCUCUGAGCUAAUAUUUUCCAGAUGUAAAGAACUGGGCUAUGUUGUCUCAUCCCAAGAAACAAGAGAUCCAUGGCAGUGCAGUUGCUAAGCUUACUACUACUGCAGCCCCGGAGCUCGCAGUGCUGGAAGAUGGGUAGCACCGGUGAGGAUGACACAGAUACAGAUGGAACAAAACACCCGCCUACAGUGUUACCAGUUUGCUAGCGUGCUACCAGUUGUCCACCUUGACCAUGCUGAAGUACAGUUUGAAGAGGUCGUGGGGUGUGGGUAUGACUCGGAGCUACAUGCCACUCCUCACUGUGCCUUUUAUACACAUCACUGGCAGAGUGACACUUCCUCUUCUUCUAGACUUAGUCUAGAUGGAUGGCAGAUCCAUUGCCAAAUCCUUCCUGGAGCUCUAUGACACAAAAAGGAAGCUGGAGUAAUGUGGAAACUUCUGGUUUCUUUGGAAAGUCAGUUAUGCCAAAGAAUGUUUUGCUGAAGCAGACACGGGUGAAAGGUUGUUGUGCUAAAGUAAACACGUGGAAGGACAUGUGAAAAAGGAUUCUUUGAUAAUGACACACAUGUCUUGGUUCGCCUUACAUGUGUAGUUGAGCUGCGUUUGUUGUGACUCCAUAGAGAGAAACGCACCAAAAAAAACUUUGGUGGUAUGCUACCACUUCUGGAGGACAUGUGAUGCUUGGAGGAAGAAUAAAUAAGAGUCUGCAAUGCAUCAUGGGUCUCUAGUUGUCGCUGAUCUUCACUUCGUUGAGAGAGACAUGGCAGAGAACUUCUGGUGUCCCUGCUGGUCUUGGUCAUUCUUGCUGACUUGUGCCUAUUCAGUGGAAACCUGGCUGUCUCUGCUAGGUCAUGCCACCACUGCUGGGUCAUGUUUGC